rnacentral:rRNA from 1 species
UACGUAGGGGGCAAGCGUUGUCCGGAAUCAUUGGGCGUAAAGCGCGUGUAGGCGGUCCGGUAAGUCCGCUGUGAAAGUCGGGGGCUCAACCCUCGGAUGCCGGUGGAUACUGUCGGGCUUGAGUACGGAAGAGGCGAGUGGAAUUCCUGGUGUAGCGGUGAAAUGCGUAGAUAUCAGGAGGAAUACCGAUGGCGAAGGCAGGUCUCUGGGCUGACACUGACGCUCAUGCACGAAAGCGUGGGGAGCAAACAGG